GCUCUGUUAGUUAACCACACACAUCACAAAGUAGUUUAUGAGAAUGUUUCUGUCUAGUUUUUAUUCGAAGAUAUUCCCUUUUUCACCGUAGGCCUCAAUGCGAUCCAAAUAUCCACUUCCAGAUUCCACAAAAAGAGUGUUUCAAACCUGCUCCAUGAAAGGGAAUGUUCAACUCUGUGACUUGAAUGCAAACAUCCCAAAGAUGUUUCUGAGGAUGCUUCUGUCGAGAUUUUAUAUGAAGAUAUCCC
rnacentral:lncRNA from 1 species